ACAAAGCGUCGAUGAUCAAUGCCUUUCAGCCUGGGAGAGAAAGUCUCAACCGCCAGCGUCUCUCUCUCUCUCUCCCAGGCAGAUUCAAGAGCCUCAAACCACCACCCUCUGGAAAUGUCAUUAUUCAAAAAAGGGGGUAUGAGAAAGGUCACCUCUAUUUCUGAAAUCAAAAGGCCAGAAGGAAUGGGAUGAACAAUCCUCCCUUUUAACUCGCUGUCUGGUGUGGGGACUAUCGCUCCGCGAAAAAGUGAGCAGUGACAGUUAGACAUCAACAUCAAAAUGGCUCUGAAGAACAGUUUUCAAAAUGGCCUUACUCCCUGCAGGCAACUGAUAACAGCUCACUAUUUCUGAUCAGGAAGUGAGUAAGUGAGUAAAUGAAUGAAUGAAUGAAUUUCAAUUGCAUUUACAUCCCAUUUUUCCUCCAAGGGGCACAAGGUGAUGUGUUCUCUCCCUCCUCAUUUAAUCUGCACAACAACCCUGAGAGAUAGGUUAGGCUCUAACC